rnacentral:tRNA from 1 species
GGCAUUGUAGCUCAGUGGUAGAGCACUUGCCUAGCAUGGGCAAGAUCCUGGGUUUGAUCCCCAGCAACACCA